rnacentral:rRNA from 1 species
GCUAAUAGAUGAGCCUAAGUCAGAUUAGCUAGUUGGUGGGGUAAAGGCCUACCAAGGCGACGAUCUGUAGCGGGUCUGAGAGGAUGAUCCGCCACACUGGGACUGAGACACGGCCCAGACUCCUACGGGAGGCAGCAGUGGGGAAUAUUGGACAAUGGGCGAAAGCCUGAUCCAGCCAUGCCGCGUGUGUGAAGAAGGCCUUUUGGUUGUAAAGCACUUUAAGCGAGGAGGAGGCUACUUAAUGGACGUUACUCGCAGAAUAAGCACCGGCUAACUCUGUGCCAGCAGCCGCGGUAAUACAGAGGGUGCGAGCGUUAAUCGGAUUUACUGGGCGUAAAGCGUGCGUAGGCGGCUUUUUAAGUCGGAUGUGAAAUCCCUGAGCUUAACUUAGGAAUUGCAUUCGAUACUGGGAAGCUAGAGUAUGGGAGAGGAUGGUAGAAUUCCUGUAGCGGUGAAAUGCGUAGAGAU